rnacentral:rRNA from 1 species
GAUGAACGCUGACAGAAUGCUUAACACAUGCAAGUCAACUUGAAUUUGGGUUUUUAACUUAGAUUUGGGUGGCGGACGGGUGAGUAACGCGUAAAGAACUUGCCUCACAGCUAGGGACAACAUUUAGAAAUGAAUGCUAAUACCUGAUAUUAUGAUUUUAAGGCAUCUUAGAAUUAUGAAAGCUAUAAGCACUGUGAGAGAGCUUUGCGUCCUAUUAGCUAGUUGGAGAGGUAACAGCUCACCAAGGCGAUGAUGGGUAGCCGGCCUGAGAGGGUGAACGGCCACAAGGGGACUGAGACACGGCCCUUACUCCUACGGGAGGCAGCAGUGGGGAAUAUUGGACAAUGGACCGAGAGUCUGAUCCAGCAAUUCUGUGUGCACGAUGAAGUUUUUCGGAAUGUAAAGUGCUUUCAGUUGGGAAGAAAAAAAUGACGGUACCAACAGAAGAAGUGACGGCUAAAUACGUGCCAGCAGCCGCGGUAAUACGUAUGUCACGAGCGUUAUCCGGAUUUAUUGGGCGUAAAGCGCGUCUAGGUGGUUAUGUAAGUCUGAUGUGAAAAUGCAGGGCUCAACUCUGUAUUGCGUUGGAAACUGUGUAACUAGAGUACUGGAGAGGUAAGCGGAACUACAAGUGUAGAGGUGAAAUUCGUAGAUAUUUGUAGGAAUGCCGAUGGGGAAGCCAGCUUACUGGACAGAUACUGACGCUAAAGCGCGAAAGCGUGGGUAGCAAACAGG